rnacentral:rRNA from 1 species
CGGGGAGGACGCUCACCACUUUGUGGUUCAUGACUGGGGUGAAGUCGUAACAAGGUAGCCCUAGGGGAACCUGGGGCUGGAUCACCUCCUUAUACGAAGAUACC